rnacentral:rRNA from 1 species
UACGUAGGGUGCGAGCGUUAAUCGGAAUUACUGGGCGUAAAGCGUGCGCAGGCGGUUGGCAAAGUCAGCUGUGAAAGCCCCGGGCUUAACCUGGGAAUGGCGGUUGAAACUAGUCGACUAGAAUCUGGCAGAGGGGGGUGGAAUUCCACGUGUAGCAGUGAAAUGCGUAGAGAUGCGGAGGAACACCGAUGGCGAAGGCAGCCCCCUGGGCUAACACUGACGCUCAGGCACGAAAGCGUGGGGAGCAAACAGG